rnacentral:rRNA from 1 species
AACGCUGGCGGCGUGCCUAAUACAUGCAAGUCGAGCGAACGGACGAGAAGCUUGCUUCUCUGAUGUUAGCGGCGGACGGGUGAGUAACACGUGGAUAACCUACCUAUAAGACUGGGAUAACUUCGGGAAACCGGAGCUAAUACCGGAUAAUAUUUUGAAACGCAUGGUUCAAAAGUAAAAGACGGUCUUGCUGUCACUUAUAGAUGGAUCCGCGCUGCAUUAGCUAGUUGGUAAGGUAACGGCUUACCAAGGCAACGAUGCAUAGCCGACCUGAGAGGGUGAUCGGCCACACUGGAACUGAGACACGGUCCAGACUCCUACGGGAGGCAGCAGUAGGGAAUCUUCCGCAAUGGGCGAAAGCCUGACGGAGCAACGCCGCGUGAGUGAUGAAGGUCUUCGGAUCGUAAAACUCUGUUAUUAGGGAAGAACAUAUGUGUAAGUAACUGUGCACAUCUUGACGGUACCUAAUCAGAAAGCCACGGCUAACUACGU